rnacentral:lncRNA from 1 species
GAGGUGAUCGAGGGAUCGGGGCUUGAGGAGGCGGUUGGGGGCUCGGAGAAGCUUGAUCCGAUGGUGGGGGAAAGAGAAGGACCAGAGUCGGCCGGAGGGAGGUAGGCCUAUUAGAAAAGAAAGGGCAGAUUACAUGCAUGUAUUUCAAAACUGUUUUGAAAUCGCAGUGGAAUAAAAUAGAUUAACCAUUUUAUCAUUCAUUAAAUCAAAUCUAAAACCUUUCCUAACACAGAUCUAAGACAUAUAAAAUUUAAAAUUAAUUUUUGAGAUCAGAUCUCAUACCUUAUUGC